GGGGAUUUAGCUCAGUGGCACUGUGCUUGCCUCACAAGCACAAGGUCCUGGGUUCAAUCCCCAGUAAUCCCA
rfam:Heterocephalus glaber contig272911, whole genome shotgun sequence.